rnacentral:rRNA from 1 species
UACGGAGGGUGCGAGCGUUGUCCGGAAUCACUGGGCGUAAAGGGCGCGUAGGCGGCUUGGGAAGUCCGUGGUGAAAGCUCUGGGCUCAACCCAGAAAUGGCAUUGGAUACUAUCCGGCUAGAGGAGUGGAGGGGGGACUGGAAUACUUGGUGUAGCAGUGAAAUGCGUAGAUAUCAAGUGGAACACCAGUGGCGAAGGCGAGUCCCUGGACACUUCCUGACACUGAGGCACGAAAGCUAGGGGAGCAAACAGG